CAUAGGUUAAUGAGGCGAACCGGGGGAACUGAAACAUCUAAGUACCCCGAGGAAAAGAAAUCAACCGAGAUUCCCCCAGUAGCGGCGAGCGAACGGGGAGGAGCCCAGAGCCUGAAUCAGUGUGUGUGUUAGUGGAAGCGUCUGGAAAGGCGCGCGAUACAGGGUGACAGCCCCGUACACAAAAAUGCACAUAUUGUGAGCUCGAUGAGUAGGGCGGGACACGUGGUAUCCUGUCUGAAUAUGGGGGGACCAUCCUCCAAGGCUAAAUACUCCUGACUGACCGAUAGUGAACCAGUACCGUGAGGGAAAGGCGAAAAGAACCCCGGCGAGGGGAGUGAAAAAGAACCUGAAACCGUGUACGUACAAGCAGUGGGAGCCUCUUUAUGGGGUGACUGCGUACCUUUUGUAUAAUGGGUCAGCGACUUAUAUUCUGUAGCAAGGUUAACCGAAUAGGGGAGCCGAAGGGAAACCGAGUCUUAACUGGGCGUUAAGUUGCAGGGUAUAGACCCGAAACCCGGUGAUCUAGCCAUGGGCAGGUUGAAGGUUGGGUAACACUAACUGGAGGACCGAACCGACUAAUGUUGAAAAAUUAGCGGAUGACUUGUGGCUGGGGGUGAAAGGCCAAUCAAACCGGGAGAUAGCUGGUUCUCCCCGAAAGCUAUUUAGGUAGCGCCUCGUGAAUUCAUCUCCGGGGGUAGAGCACUGUUUCGGCAAGGGGGUCAUCCCGACUUACCAACCCGAUGCAAACUGCGAAUACCGGAGAAUGUUAUCACGGGAGACACACGGCGGGUGCUAACGUCCGUCGUGAAGAGGGAAACAACCCAGACCGCCAGCUAAGGUCCCAAAGUCAUGGUUAAGUGGGAAACGAUGUGGGAAGGCCCAGACAGCCAGGAUGUUGGCUUAGAAGCAGCCAUCAUUUAAAGAAAGCGUAAUAGCUCACUGGUCGAGUCGGCCUGCGCGGAAGAUGUAACGGGGCUAAACCAUGCACCGAAGCUGCGGCAGCGACACUAUGUGUUGUUGGGUAGGGGAGCGUUCUGUAAGCCUGUGAAGGUGGCCUGUGAGGGUUGCUGGAGGUAUCAGAAGUGCGAAUGCUGACAUAAGUAACGAUAAAGCGGGUGAAAAGCCCGCUCGCCGGAAGACCAAGGGUUCCUGUCCAACGUUAAUCGGGGCAGGGUGAGUCGACCCCUAAGGCGAGGCCGAAAGGCGUAGUCGAUGGGAAACAGGUUAAUAUUCCUGUACUUGGUGUUACUGCGAAGGGGGGACGGAGAAGGCUAUGUUGGCCGGGCGACGGUUGUCCCGGUUUAAGCGUGUAGGCUGGUUUUCCAGGCAAAUCCGGAAAACCAAGGCUGAGGCGUGAUGACGAGGCACUACGGUGCUGAAGCGACAAAUGCCCUGCUUCCAGGAAAAGCCUCUAAGCAUCAGGUAACAUCAAAUCGUACCCCAAACCGACACAGGUGGUCAGGUAGAGAAUACCAAGGCGCUUGAGAGAACUCGGGUGAAGGAACUAGGCAAAAUGGUGCCGUAACUUCGGGAGAAGGCACGCUGAUAUGUAGGUGAAGCGACUUGCUCGUGGAGCUGAAAUCAGUCGAAGAUACCAGCUGGCUGCAACUGUUUAUUAAAAACACAGCACUGUGCAAACACGAAAGUGGACGUAUACGGUGUGACGCCUGCCCGGUGCCGGAAGGUUAAUUGAUGGGGUUAGCGGUAACGCGAAGCUCUUGAUCGAAGCCCCGGUAAACGGCGGCCGUAACUAUAACGGUCCUAAGGUAGCGAAAUUCCUUGUCGGGUAAGUUCCGACCUGCACGAAUGGCGUAAUGAUGGCCAGGCUGUCUCCACCCGAGACUCAGUGAAAUUGAACUCGCUGUGAAGAUGCAGUGUACCCGCGGCAAGACGGAAAGACCCCGUGAACCUUUACUAUAGCUUGACACUGAACAUUGAGCCUUGAUGUGUAGGAUAGGUGGGAGGCUUUGAAGUGUGGACGCCAGUCUGCAUGGAGCCGACCUUGAAAUACCACCCUUUAAUGUUUGAUGUUCUAACGUUGGCCCGUAAUCCGGGUUGCGGACAGUGUCUGGUGGGUAGUUUGACUGGGGCGGUCUCCUCCUAAAGAGUAACGGAGGAGCACGAAGGUUGGCUAAUCCUGGUCGGACAUCAGGAGGUUAGUGCAAUGGCAUAAGCCAGCUUGACUGCGAGCGUGACGGCGCGAGCAGGUGCGAAAGCAGGUCAUAGUGAUCCGGUGGUUCUGAAUGGAAGGGCCAUCGCUCAACGGAUAAAAGGUACUCCGGGGAUAACAGGCUGAUACCGCCCAAGAGUUCAUAUCGACGGCGGUGUUUGGCACCUCGAUGUCGGCUCAUCACAUCCUGGGGCUGAAGUAGGUCCCAAGGGUAUGGCUGUUCGCCAUUUAAAGUGGUACGCGAGCUGGGUUUAGAACGUCGUGAGACAGUUCGGUCCCUAUCUGCCGUGGGCGCUGGAGAACUGAGGGGGGCUGCUCCUAGUACGAGAGGACCGGAGUGGACGCAUCACUGGUGUUCGGGUUGUCAUGCCAAUGGCACUGCCCGGUAGCUAAAUGCGGAAGAGAUAAGUGCUGAAAGCAUCUAAGCACGAAACUUGCCCCGAGAUGAGUUCUCCCUGACUCCUUGAGAGUCCUGAAGGAACGUUGAAGACGACGACGUUGAUAGGCCGGGUGUGUAAGCGCAGCGAUGCGUUGAGCUAACCGGUACUAAUGAACCGUGAGGCUUAACCUUACAACGCCGAAG
rnacentral:rRNA from 1 species